rnacentral:rRNA from 1 species
AUUGAACGCUGGCGGCAUGCCUUACACAUGCAAGUCGAACGGCAGCACGGGAGCAAUCCUGGUGGCGAGUGGCGAACGGGUGAGUAAAGUAUCGGAACGUGCCCAGUCGUGGGGGAUAACGUAGCGAAAGUUACGCUAAUACCGCAUACGAUCUAUGGAUGAAAGCGGGGGAUCGCAAGACCUCGCGCGAUUGGAGCGGCCGAUAUCAGAUUAGGUAGUUGGGGGGGUAAAGGCUCACCAAGCCGACGAUCUGUAGCUGGUCUGAGAGGACGACCAGCCACACUGGGACUGAGACACGGCCCAGACUCCUACGGGAGGCAGCAGUGGGGAAUUUUGGACAAUGGGCGAAAGCCUGAUCCAGCCAUGCCGCGUGCAGGAUGAAGGCCUUCGGGUUGUAAACUGCUCUUGUACGGAACGAAAAGGUUUGGCCUAAUAAGCUGAGCUCAUGACGGUACCGUAAGAAUAAGCACCGGCUAACUACGUGCCAGCCGCCACGGUAA